rnacentral:sRNA from 1 species
ACGUAGCCCGACUUGAGUGGAAAUCCUUUUUUGCUUUGACUUAAGUUCUAUUUAAAAUCAAAUGUUCGAACAAAAAAGAUUGGGAACGGAAGGCGGAAAAGCU